rnacentral:snRNA from 1 species
GGAUGUGAGGGAGAUCUGGCUACGACAUCUGCCACCCCACUGAUUGCCAGGAUGGAUUUGGCUGACCUCGCUGGCUAGGCAGAUGUCCCACUCCUCCCUCAAUGCUCCAAGUUCUUCCCUCCUGAAGCUGCGCUCUCAGUCAAGAGGACAACCACCCCUGACAGAGAAGGACCAUUCCUCAGUCAAGAGUGUACAAGUACCUGCACUCCCCUGAUAGAAUCUCCAAACAAGCUCUCAGAAAACACACAAAUUGCAUAAAAACCCCAUUUACAGAAAUAAUGGCAAAAAAUGUUCCAAAUAU